rnacentral:tRNA from 9 species
AAGGAAGUGGCAGAGUGGUUAUGUGGCUGGCUUGAAACCAGCAUAUGGGGGUUCAAUUCCUCCCUUCCUCG